rnacentral:tRNA from 1 species
GCCUUAGUGGUGUAACUGUAGCACUCUCAAUGCGUAUUCGAGAGGUCCAGGUUGGAGUCCUAGCGAAGGCA